UUGUAUCUCCAUAUCCAAUGGAUUUUUGAUUUCUGGAUUCUUCUUCUGUAUCCGAGAACGAGCCUAAUUACCUUAUGCUCGCUCAGGUUCAGCUUCCACUCGAAGACACAGAGAAUGAUGCGAGACAUUACAAUGACGAUCAUUUUGAUUUCGGCGAAUUUGGUUACACCAAUGACAAGGUACAGUGUGUAUUUAGAUGUUUGUAUGGAAAUUGCUUUGAUUUUCUUAUUGGUUCACUGUUAGUUCGACUUUCUGAAUUUGUUUAAGGAAUGAUUGGAUUGAGAAAUCGAGAAGCUUUAUUUGGUCAUUGUGAAAAUUUUUCGAGUUUUACGGCUUGGGUUUAGGGUUUUAUUGGAAAUUAAAUUAGUAAGAUUGGUUGCUUGGGUAGUUAACUUGAUGUCUGUAUUCUCUUGUUAUAAGAUCAUAUAUUAUGUAUUGUCCAUUUAGUAUUUAAGUUAAUGUAAAAUCUUUUUUUAUUUAUUUUUUUUGUUAGUUUUGGCUCCAUUUGUGAUGCUUUCCAGGUUUUUUUUCUCCGUUACACUCAGCAGUGGAAGAAAAAAAGUUGUGUUUGUGUUGAUUAAAUCUAAUCUCUAUUAGAAUUCCAAUGAGGUUUAAUUAUGCAUUCUCUAGUUUGAUUGUUAAUUUUAUUCAAAGGGAUUUCUUGUAGGAGGGACUAUAAAGAAUGGACAAAUUUCCUCUAAUUUAGGUUUGCUAAUGAAGUAAUUCUAAUCUUCAAUUCUUUUACAUGAUUUGAUGCAACUCGAGGAAGCUAUUGCUUUCGUCAAGGAAAAUACUUAGAAGUUGCUUAAUUUAGAACAUGUGACAUUGUAUCCUGUAUCUAUACACGAUCUGCCCUUGAAGCAGAACUUUCAGUUUCCUACCAUGUUCAGAAAGAGAUUGAAGAACUAUCUAUGACUAAUCCUCAUUGGAGAACCCGUAGUUUCUAUGAAUUUGAAAUUUUUUUGUAUAGCUUUUUAGAUGGGUCAACAAGUACAUGAAUUGAAAGAAUGAAGCUGAAGCUUGAAACAUCAAUUGCAAUGGCAGAGCAAUUGCUUUCUGCUUAGUAAAUGAACAAGUUGAUGGUGUGAAAGAGUAUGCAAUGAAGAUGGAAAGUGUUAGCGUUUUGUGGAGGAGACAGACUUUAUCAAUGAUUCAUUGGUUUAUGAGAGAUCUCUGUCAGGUUCUGGUGCUAGCCCAAAUGCAGCUGCUAUUGCUCAGUUUGUGAGAGCUGAAAUGCUUCCAAGUGGCUAUUUCAUUCGGCCAUGCAAGGGUGGAGGGUCAAUUAUCCAUAAAGUUGAUAUGUUAGUUUGGAUCAGCUACCAAGCAAGUUGAUAUGUUAAAUCAUUAAAGAAGGUGAAAGGCUUCAAGUUGUGUGUCAUGUUGGACUUCAAAGAGGAUAUAGCUUUUGAGAAGACAUGCUUACUAAAUUCGAUUUGACUUGAAUAUGCCCUGUGCUGCACUACGGUUACAUAUUUUCAUCUUUAUUUUAAAUGGAAUUCAAUUAUUGUUUGAUGAUUUAGUGAAGUUACAAGAAAGGAAAUUUGUUAAUUAUUGUUCUUAAGUUUUUUCUUUUUUAAA